AUUGAACGCUGGCGGCAUGCCUUACACAUGCAAGUCGAACGGCAGCACGGACUUCGGUCUGGUGGCGAGUGGCGAACGGGUGAGUAAUGUAUCGGAACGUACCUUUCAGUGGGGGAUAACGUAGCGAAAGUUACGCUAAUACCGCAUAUUCUGUGAGCAGGAAAGCAGGGGAUCGAAAGACCUUGCGCGGAUUGAGCGGCCGAUAUCAGAUUAGCUAGUUGGUGGGGUAAAGGCCUACCAAGGCGACGAUCUGUAGCGGGUCUGAGAGGAUGAUCCGCCACACUGGAACUGAGACACGGUCCAGACUCCUACGGGAGGCAGCAGUGGGGAAUUUUGGACAAUGGGGGCAAACCUGAUCCAGCCAUGCCGCGUGAGUGAAGAAGGCCUUCGGGUUGUAAAGCUCUUUCGGCCGGGAAGAAAUCGUAUAGGCUAAUACCCUGUGUGGAUGACGGUACCGGAAUAAGAAGCACCGGCUAACUACGUG
rnacentral:rRNA from 1 species